UACGUAGGGGCCUAGCGUUGUCCGGAUUUAUUGGGCGUAAAGAGCUCGUAGGCGGCUCGGUAAGUCAGGUGUGAAAUCUCCACGCUCAACGUGGAGGGGCCACCUGAUACUGCCAUGGCUUGAGUCCGGUAGGGGAGUGUGGAAUUCCCGGUGUAGCGGUGAAAUGCGUAGAUAUCUGGAGGAACACCGGUGGCGAAGGCGGCAUCCUGGACCAACACUGACGCUGAGGAGCGAAAGCCAGGGGAGCAAACGGG
rnacentral:rRNA from 1 species